rnacentral:tRNA from 1 species
AGGGAAAUUGCUCAGUAGUAGAGUGCAUGCUUAGCAUGUAUGCAUUCCUGGGUUCAAUUCCCAGUAUCUCCA